rnacentral:rRNA from 1 species
GACGAACGCUGGCGGCGUGCUUAACACAUGCAAGUCGAACGAAGUGGCGGACGGGUGAGUAACGCGUAAUCAACCUGCCCUUCAGAGGGGGACAACAGUUGGAACCGACUGCUAAUACCCCAUAUGGAAGGAGGGGAUUGCGUCUGAUUAGCUAGUUGAAGGGGUAACGGCCCACCAAGGGGAUGAUCAGUCGCCCGUCUGAGGGGAUGAGGGGCCACAUGGGGAUUGAGACACGGCCCAGACACAUUGGGGAGGGAGCAGUAGGGAAUAUUGCGCAAGGGGCGAAACCCUGACGCAGCAACGCGGCGUGGAGUAUGACACUUGUCGGAGCGUAAACUCCUUUUGUUAGGGAUGCGUUACCUAACGAAUAAGCACCGGCUAACUCCGUGCCAGCAGCCGCGGUAAUUC